AGAGUUUGAUCAUGGCUCAGGACGAACGCUGGCGGCGUGCUUAACACAUGCAAGUCGAGCGAACCUUCGGGUUAGCGGCGAACGGGUGAGUAACACGUGAGCAACCUGCCCCUGGCUCUGGGAUAGCCUCCGGAAACGGGGAUUAAUACCGGAUAGGAUCCUGGUCCUCAUGGACCGGGGUGGAAAGUUUUUCGGCCAGG
rnacentral:rRNA from 1 species